rnacentral:lncRNA from 1 species
AAGAGUCCCCUAGGAAUACAGAAAAUGACGCUUUUUCCUAUCCUCCACAGAGAGAUUCAAGCACCUGUCAUCUUCAACAAGAGGAAGAGGGACAACCUUUACCUCUAACCCAGCUUGGAGCCGUCAUUUCCCCCUUCUCCAAGAGCACCAGCCAUAUCUCUUUACUAUUCCCACCUCUGCCAAAAGAGAAGUAAGAGCGAGGGUUUACAAAAGAAAGGGCGUUGCUUCUUAAUUUCCAUUUUUCGGAUCUUAGUUUAAUUUAAAUUUCAGAAAAUAACAAAAAAAAAUGUUUCUUCUAUCCAAUUCGAAUUUCCAUUUUCCAAAGAGAGAGUUUUGAUUGAAGUUUGAGUUUGAGUUUGUAUUUGGAUUCGAAAUUUCGAUGCCGAUUCGAGUAUCUGUCUGAGGUUCGUGAUGUCGAUUUGGCUCGCUAUUUCUGCUCGAUAACACUGCUGCUUUUAGUUGGAAUUGUCGACUAAAAAAUUGUAUAUGUUGAUUCUUCAAUUGUUAUUAAAAGAAUGGCGAAUAAACAGGUUCAUCUUUUCUCCUUUUCACUAUUAUUCUAGAUGUUACUUUCGUAUUGUCGUGAUUAAAAUAUGGUGAUGCCCUUUUCUCUUAGCUACUGUGAUUGUAGUCCCAAUUUGUGCUUAAGGACAGAUGUCUGAUAUUCUUCUUUUUGUUGUUAGAAAUUCGGUUUGGUGGAUUGAUAUGUUUGAAUAUGAGCAAUUGGAAAUCGAAGUGUUUAGGUUAUAACUUCAUUUAUGGGUGAUCGACUUGGCUUCGGUUUAUUGAUGCUUUAAUUUAUCUGCCUUGGCUAGUUUCUAUUCGACGCUUGCGCCAAUUCGUAUCCCUGUCUCAUGUUGAAAUGCAUUUUGAGUUCCAUAUUCUCAAAAAAUGUGCAUAUGUUGCAUUUGUAAGCAGUUACUUUGCAUCCCAUGCACCGAAGUGAUAUCUUAUGGUCAAGAUUGAUUAAACAUGUGCUCUUUGUCAUUAAAUUUUGCAGAAGUUGGUGAAAUGGUCAUGAGGGACAUCUGUUAGAUUUAGUUCUUGUAUGAAUCGACUAGAAAUCAGAAUCACUAACGGAUCUGUUUGGUUUUCAUUUGGUCUCUAAUACACAUGUUAAAGCAUUUCCACUUAUAAAGUUCCUUCGAAGAUAAUUUAUGAAAAGGAGGAAGAUGAUACUUUGAAAAUGAGGAAGACAUUGUAUGAGAAGCAUGUUGGGUCAGAUGCACAUAUACUUCACAUUAAAUUGGGAUGUAUGAAUUACUUGCUUGUUUUGUUUUCUUUGAAGUGAAUUAUUAAUUAAAAUUUGUUGAAAGCAUCUGGUUAUGGUAAAAAUUCUGAUUUGAGGGGAUCAAUGCCUUUGAAGGUCUAUUUGGUUUGAUCAUUUGGUUGGCAUUUGAGUUGACAAUUGGAUUAGUUUCAUCAAAGUAUAAAGGAAGGAGUGCAUGUAUUCGAGUCAGUAUUUCUUUAAUUGAUAUUCCCUUGCUGACCUCAUUGAUGUGGUAUUUUGAAUCUCUUGGUCAUUUGCUAUAUUUUAGAGAACUAGUCCAUACACGUUUUUCAUUUGUGUAAGC